CAGGCUGGCCUUGAACUCACAGAGAUCCGCCUGCCUCUGCCUUCCGAGUGCUGGGAUUAAAGGCGUGCGCCACCCGGCUAUUUCUGGACUACUUCUUAUGCCCUUUCAAAUCACUUCCUUUCUUCUAGAAGAAUCCAGGAAGACGUUUGGCCUGAGUUCUAAAGAGAGUCCAGGGUACAGCUUGGCCAGAGGCUAGGACUGUGGAUGAGAGCCAUGGAACCUGGGUCUCUUGGGUGUCUCCGGGUUUCACGACAGCUGAAGGGUGACGUUCUGAAGCAGUCAAAUGGCCUGGCAGGGCACCGAGGAACUAAGUAGCUGGGAUGAAGGAUCCUCUGCAGUCUGUGAAUAUUUUCCUGUCCCAGACACUGACCUCCAUAACCCGGGCCUGCUCUGCAUAUCUCCCAAGAUGAACUGUCAUCAUGUCAGCCAGCCUCGGGCUGCAGGAUGAGUCCUGGGCCAGCCGCUGACCGUCCUGGGAUUCACUUCAUCAGAAACAGAGGGGCCGAGCUCAGUGGAGGGAGUAGAGAGCUGGGGGCGUUGCCCAGCCUCAACCACAGUUUCUGCUGAUGAGAACCUGUCCUGCGUGAUGCUGGAGAGGUGAGGGCAAGGGCGGUAGAGCGGACGGUGCCUGGGGUUUGGAGCUCAAGCCUGGGCAAAGGCUCUCUGCAUGAUUUCGCAAUGCCCUUCCUUCAUAUCCUUCAUGCUCUUCAAUGUUCUUCUUACAACCUGCCCAGGCAGAAAUUGCCGUGAUGACUGUGGGAGGUGACUCGAAGGCAGAAGGGCACUUGGCUUGUCCACAGCUUUCACCCAGCAAAGUGCCAGCCGCAUGGGAGACCCUCAAUAAAUGUUGCUGGCUUUAUCCCGAGGCUCAUCGGGGUGUGAAGGAGCAAA